UAAUACAGAGGGGGCAAGCGUUGUUCGGAAUUACUGGGCGUAAAGGGCGCGUAGGCGGCCUGCUAAGUCGAACGUGAAAUCCCUGGGCUCAACCCAGGAACUGCGUCCGAUACUGGUUGGCUUGAAUUCGGGAGAGGGAUGCGGAAUUCCAGGUGUAGCGGUGAAAUGCGUAGAUAUCUGGAGGAACACCGGUGGCGAAGGCGGCAUCCUGGACCGACAUUGACGCUGAGGCGCGAAAGCCAGGGGAGCAAACGGG
rnacentral:rRNA from 1 species